rnacentral:lncRNA from 1 species
GGUUCUUCCUUUCACAUGUACUGAAACCUGCAAAGAGAUUCAGUUAUAGGAUAAGAUAUCAAGACUGAACAGUUGCAUAGGACAACACAAGAUUGUAAUCUGAAUGAAACAAUGAUGAGAAUACUGCACAGUGAAAACAUCAAUGAAAACAUAACAAUCACACCAGACCUGUCUUCAAGAACAAAUAAAGUUAAUCCUGACAUGGAUUCUCUAAUGUGCUUCUCCCUUCCUUAGAAGAUUGUCCAGAACAAAAAUUUCGCCAUUGACAGGAAGGUUCCAGAAAGAAAGCCCGUAAAUUAACAAAUAUUAAGUUUUAUGAUUGUGGGUGUUUAUGAAAUGAGCAUGAAGAGGAAAAAACCACCUGUCCUAGGAAGCCAGUAGUCCCACUCUCCACUAAAGGAACUUCAGC